rnacentral:rRNA from 1 species
ACGCUAUCACUCCUACGGGAGGCAGCAGUGGGAAUAUUGCACAAUGGGGAAACCCUGAUGCAGCCAUGCCGCGUGUGUGAAGAAGGCCUUCGGGUUGUAAAGCACUUUUCAGCGAGGAGGAAGGGUGUAAGUUAAUACCUUACAUCUGUGACGUUACUCGCGAAGAAGCACCGGCUAACUCGUGCCAGCAGCCGCGGUAAUACGGAGGGUGCGAGCGUUAAUCGGAAUUACUGGGCGUAAAGCGUGCGCAGGCGGUUUGUUAAGCGAGAUGUGAAAGCCCCGGGCUCAACCUGGGAACCGCAUUUCGAACUGGCAAACUAGAGUCUUGUAGAGGGGGGUAGAAUUCCAGGUGUAGCGGUGAAAUGCGUAGAGAUCUGGAGGAAUACCGGUGGCGAAGGCGGCCCCCUGGACAAAGACUGACACUCAGAUGCGAAAGCGUGGGGAGCAAACAGGAUUAGAUACCCUGGUAG